AACGCCGUGGCGAUUUGUUACCAGAUUGCGGGCCACGUUAAAUAUGCUGCUAAACGGUCAGGAAGAAAG
rnacentral:ncRNA from 1 species